GACGAACGCUGGCGGCGUGCUUAACACAUGCAAGUCGAACGGAAAGGCCCGGCGUUUGCGGGGUGCUCGAUUGGCGAACGGGGGAGUAACACGUGAGUAACCUGCCCUUGACUGAGGGAGAACACCAGGAAACUGGGGCUAAUAUCGGAUAGGAGAUCCUGAUGCAUGGUGGGGGUUGGAAAGAUCCGGCGGUGGGGGAUGGACUCGCGGCUUAUCAGCUUGUUGGUGGGGUAGUGGUUUACCAAGGCUUUGACGGGUAGGCGGCCUGGGAGGUUGACCGGCGACCAUGCUCCUACGAUACGCCCCAGUCUGCUACCUGACGCAAUAGUCGGGAAUCUUGCGCAAUGGCCCGGCGCCUGUUGUAGCAAUCCUCCGUGCGGGAUGCAGGGUUACUGGUUGUGAACCUCUUUCGAAUGUAACGAACACUUAUUGACGGUAAUUGAUAAAAAAGCACCGGCUAACUACGUG
rnacentral:rRNA from 1 species